rnacentral:rRNA from 1 species
UACGGAGGGUGCAAGCGUUGUUCGGAUUUACUGGGCGUAAAGCGUGCGCAGGCGGUUUUGUAAGUCUGUCGUGAAAUCCCCGGGCUCAACCUGGGAAUUGCGAUGGAGACUGCAAGGCUAGAAUCUGGCAGAGGGGGGUAGAAUUCCACGUGUAGCAGUGAAAUGCGUAGAGAUGUGGAGGAACACCGAUGGCGAAGGCAGCCCCCUGGGUCAAGAUUGACGCUCAUGCACGAAAGCGUGGGGAGCAAACAGGAUUA